rnacentral:rRNA from 1 species
AACGAACGCUGGCGGCAGGCUUAACACAUGCAAGUCGAACGCCCCGCAAGGGGAGUGGCAGACGGGUGAGUAACACGUGGGAACGUCCCCCUCGGUUCGGAAUAACUCAGGGAAACUUGAGCUAAUACCGGAUACGUCCGAGAGGAGAAAGAUUUAUCGCCGAGGGAUCGGCCCGCGUCUGAUUAGCUAGUUGGUGAGGUAACGGCUCACCAAGGCGACGAUCAGUAGCUGGUCUGAGAGGAUGACCAGCCACACUGGGACUGAGACACG